AAACAAGGCGAAGCCUAUCUCAAGUUUUCCGGUGUUCGACUGUUCCGCGCGACCUCCUCGGGAAAAUUUACAACUAAAUAGUGACGUCUGCUUUUAAAGCACUGUGAAGUGUUUACAUUUGAAUGACAUAAAUAAUAAUUUAAAUAAUUACUUAUUAUUUAAUUAUGGGAGCAAAAUAAGACUAUUUGACAAUAUUAUUAAUUAUUAAAAAGAAAAACAAAGAAUCAUGGAAUAUUCGAUGGAAAAACUUACAUUUGAAGAGUGUAAGAUCAAAUUUAAUAAAUCACAAUUACCUUCUGAUAAGUGGUAUCAUAUGACAAGAAACAAAGAAUUUAUUUCGUUUAUAAAAUUGGAAUAAAUAAAGUCAAUCUUUGACAUUUCUAACGGGCGCUCUUUAAUUUGAAAUUGGUAGCAGGCGAACCACAUAUACCACUUAGUUGUAAAUUUUCCCGAGGAGGUCGCGCUGAACAGUCGGA